UUUUUUUACAGUAGAUUAGUUGAAUGGGCAGCAUCUAUUAGAAUUAGGGCUGCAGCUAUUGAUUAUUUUUGUAAUCAAGUAUUCUAGCGAUUAAUCAAGUAAUCGAAUUCUGCGCUUGGUACACAUGUUACAGUGUCAAAAGUGGAAAUAAGCGCACCAUGCAACAGAAAUAACCGUCAUGGUGGAACACGGGCAGACAUCUGCGGUGUAUUAGUACAGGGGUAUUGCACUUAUGCAGUGUAGUAAAGGCUGUUUCAACUGCUGGUACUGCAGCUGAUAGACCACAAAUAAGAAAACUGUUUAGACAGUAUUCAAUCAGUAAGUUAACAUUAGUUUCACUUGGAUUUUGCCACAAAUUUAAGGGAUUUCCUUGACAGUAGGACAGUGUCAAACCUACAUAUAGUUCAACACAAUAUCAUCUUUAAAUAUAUCAAGUUUUCUGCCAGUAUUCCUGUCUUACAUAACUUCCAGUCGCAGCGCUUUUUACCGUCAUAAAUUAUUUUCCUCAUUGUUUUCCAUUAAAGCAACCUGUUGACUGAAGCAACUGAACACUAUCAGUUCAUUUUGUGGAAAACAAGUCAAAUGAUGCAUUAAAGGCUCCUAUUUGUGUUACGAGUUUGAAGCAGAAAGUCUGAGUUAACCCCUUAAGCUUCAGUGUACCGCCGGCGGUACACCUACUAAUUUGCAUAGGAAUUUCAAGAAUGUCCGACGGCUGCAAACACGAUUAUACAAACACUAUACGCCGAUGGAAAGCUUAGAUUCUCAUGAAUCCGCCGGUAUAAACCACUUUCAGAUGCGAUUACCACAGCGGGUGAGAAAAACACAUUUGUCCGACAAAAACGAAUAUUCAUCCAUCCGUUCUCUAUACACGGCUUCAAUGCACACAGCGUGACUCACAUUUCCGGGUUUAUUAUUACACACACAAAAAAAGAUUCCACAAAAAACGGCCAUACUCCAACCUUUUACAUCCAGAUGACACAAGCCAGUAAACUAUUUUAUCCAAAACAUGUCCUGAAGUCGGUAUAAAAUCCCCGAAUCGGUCAUUUUCAAGGAAAUGCACCUCGCGAUGCCCGUCCAAUAGUCCCUGUAUUUUUCGUAAUUUUUUUUAUUUAAAAAUAGAAUAUUAGCGAUUUUUUUGUACUGAAAACGGCUGGAAUUGACUGAAGCUUAAAAGGGUUAACAAAGUAAGUUGAAAACAACCUUCAUACCUGUUAAUUCGAACUGAGGUUUUAGUUUUUGUCGAGCUGACUCGCACAAAGAAAAUCUGACUGUUAAACUGUCUUCGUAGUUCAGUCCUCUGAUCUGGUAAACAUUAGAAGAGCUGUGCUGGUUAAAUUAAAAGCAUCCCAUCAAAUUUCAUAUCCCUUUAUAUUUUGUUGUUUAUAGGUCUGAGUUCAUAUAGGAUGAAAUCCGGACUAGUUACUGACCUGGGGUUGAGUGUAUAUACUGGAUUACAUGAAGCCUGGAUUCAGAGAAUUUUGCCUCGAGUAAUUUUAGUAAUCAAAUUACUCGAAUAACUCAAGGUAUCAUUCUAGUCCUAAUUAGAAUCAUUCACGAUUUAAUUUUAUUCUUCUCCCAGCAGUAUUAAAUCCAAAUUGCUUCCCUUCUGUCGCUAUUAUAAGUUGUAGUUUGUCUGAUUUCAUCGUAUUUUUAGAGUCUCCCAUUUUGCAAUUUCUAAGAUGCAUGUCUUAAUUUAUUUAUCUUAUUAAUUUAUUUAAUCAGGGACCAUGUAGUUAUCAUCGGACAGAUGCAUUUCAUAUAGAGUGUGUAGCAUAGAUCUAAUUUACAACUCCCGUCCCUGGUUGGGCUUUUAAGUAAAAGUGGUCAAAGGACCAACAACACAAAUAAAAAUGACACAGACAUGAAAAAUCUAUAACACCCACCCACCAACGCACACACAAACAUACACAAAAGCACAAUCACAGACAGACCUUAUAGUUUUCAUAGGUGGGUACAUUCUUGGUUGUUCUUUCAGCCAGUGCUUCACUUUUGCUGUAAACGUUUCUACAUCUGCUAUCCUGUUAAUGUCAUUUGGUAAUGUGUUCCAGAAUUUUGCAGAGAAGGUUUCUGAACCAUUGUUAAUGUUAGAUGCUAUCUAAAAACUUUAAGUUUCCCACACUUUCCCUCUGAGCACAGUGAUUUCUCUAUAAUCUGAAGUAUCUCUCACCUCUUUUCAGUACUCUCACUCUUCUCUAACUCUCCAUCUCCCCUCAUUCCUCUUUAGAUUCUUAAGGACAGCCCUCCUUCCUUCUUCUGUUAUAGAAGUGUAUUUUGUAAGUCAUUGCUCCUUCCUUGGACUUUUUAUCCUCCUCUACCUUCAGCUGUCACUCCUGCCUCACCACCCUAACAUCCUUCAUUAACUUCCUCACAGCACCAACUGGUUUGGCCUUUCAGUUACUACACAUGACUGUACUUUGUCUUACCGUAUUGCUUCCUUUUCCACCCUUUUCUGCCCGAGUGGAACUCGAGUGCUGUGGGUUUUUAGUGUCUCCAGAGUGUCCGCAACACUUUCGAUCACGCAAGGCUGUGCUUACCUCUCACCGUUCCUCAGUUUAUCUCUCGUCAGAUCAUAACAUGUUCCCAUGUGUCAUGAAACAAUAGUUGGGUCCCAAUGAGAGCGUUCAACCAGAUAUUGCAAACUGUAAUCUCCCAUCUUUUGUCUGUUAGUUUCUAAAAGUAAGAACUAAUGUUAAAACAUGAUGGCCCUGUUGUUUGUCAUUUAUAGCCAGCCCUGACUGAUUAAAAUGACUGUCAUCACUGGCAGAUUAUCUGGCAGAUCAUCUGCUUAUUAAAUUUAGUUCCAUCACAGACCAGCUGAAACUUUAGUCUUGUGUUUAAUGUUUUCUCUCCAAGCUGCUUGAUUGAGUUUCUUUUAUUUUUUUGCAGCAGAGGCUCUUUUCUAAAAAAAAAAAUCAGCUCAUUGCAGCACAUUGAAUGCACAAUAGUCACGGUUACAUGUUUUAUUCAUCAGUUAAAAAUUUUGAAACAAGUAGUUAAAAUUCUAUGAGUAUCCAUCUACGUUUUAUGUCCUCUGCUGCUCAUUUAGUUUAUAGUUUUUUUAGCUACAGGUUGGGGUUAUUAUUAGUUCAGUUUAAUUUGUAUAAACUCUGUGAAUUCCAAACAGUUUUAAGGAUUUUUUUUUUUUGCUCCUGUGACAUUUUUAUUCAUUUAGGGUUCAUUUUUCACUGCAGUAUAAAUUUCCUUCCAUUAUGUAAACAGUACAACCAUGGCUAGAAUGCAGAGAGAACUCGGAAAAUGUCUUUUCAAGAAUAUGACAUAGUUGCAGGAUCAGAAAUUGUGUAGAAAAGAAAAAGAAGUUAAAUUUGACUAUUUAUUUUUCAAAAAUUGGAAAAAAAAAUGGUGGCUCUACAUACCAUCAACAAUUCAUGACUUAUGUUUUUACAACAGUGUUUUCACACUUCUCUGCACAAUUCCAGAGGGGUAUUUCACCGUGCUGACUGUAUCUUCUAAUAACUUGCUGACAAGUUGAUCCUCUGUUUCCUAUGUCUGAGCCAAGCUGCACUGAUGUCAGUUCUCCUAAUGUUUCCAUGCUUUUGGAUUGUUGGAAAGCUGAUUAUUUCUGUUUUUACAGCUUCUGAGGGGUAAAUGGUCUAUUUCUAAAAAAAAAUUAAAUGAACAUUCUUUUCAAACAGUGUUGUUUUCGUUAAUGAUGAUGAUGAUGAAAUUACUUCGUUGACGCCCCUUUUUUUUCAUGACGAAAUAAACACGGCUCUCUGAUGACCAAAACAUGACGAGACGUGUGCUAGUUUUCGUUCAAGAGAUGAGACUGGACGAAAACGUUAAUGGAUGGUCGCUAAGAUGUCCAAAAAUGCACGACGUUUCUGCCUGUUGUUAGCGAUGCAGAUGCGCCUGCGUGCUGUACUUGUACAAUGACUGGCCACGCAUGCACAGCGCACCUCACACAGAGAUUUUUGAUGGACCAUGGCAGCGUCAGGGGUUGGUGGGAGGAAAAAACGGGACGACCUGUGGAAACAUUUUGAAUAGCAUGCAGCAGAAAGAAAAAUGGAAUGUGUUGUUGAAGAAGCUGGUAAAUGUGGCUGCAAACUUGGUGGCAAGAAUACGACGAAUCUUAAGCGGCACCUGAAGGCACACCAUGCUGACAUUUUUUCGAAGAUCCCGGAGACCAUAACCCCUAAAGAGAGACCUGGUUGUCCAAAGGACAACAGGGCACAGUCAUCUAUCCAGGCAGCCUUUGCUGCAGGAUCCAAAUAUAAGUCAGACUCACUGGCACAACGAGCCAAAGAACAGGCAAUCGCUCUUUGGAUUGGACGUACUGGUCUACCUGCUAGCACAGUUGAGGAUGAAGGUUUCAUCCUCAUGAGGACCUUUGAUAAGAGGCUGACAAUACCCAAAAGAACAAAAAUAAACAACUUAGUUGACAAAAUUUAUGAGGAUGAAAAACAAAAGUACAAAGACAGGCUUGCCACAGCACGCAAAGUAACAAUUGGGCUGGACAUACACACGUGGACAAAAUUGUUGGUACCCCUCAGUUAAAGAAGGAAAAACCCACAAUUCUCACUGAAAUCACUUGAAACUCACAAAAGUAACAAUGAAUAAAAAUUUAUUGAAAAUUAAAUAAUCAAAAUCAGCCAUCACUUUUGAAUUGUUGAUUAACAUAAUUAUUUAAAAAAAACAAACUAAUGAAAUAGGGCUGGACAAAAAUGAUGGUACCCAUAACUUAAUAUUUUGUUGCACAACCUUUUGAGGCAAUCACUGCAAUUAAACGAUUUCUGUAUUUGUCAAUGAGCAUUCUGCAGCUGUCAACAGGUAUUUUGGCCCACUCCUCAUGAGCAAACAGCUCCAGUUGUCUCAGGUUUGAUGGGUGUCUUCUCCAAAUGGCAUGUUUCAGCUCCUUCCACAUAUGUUCAAUGGGAUUCAGAUCUGCGCUCAUAGAAGGCCACUUUAGAAUAGUCCAACGCUUUUCUCUCAGCCAUUCUUGGGUGUUUUUGGCUGUGUGUUUUGGAUCGUUGUCCUGUUGGAAGACCCAUGACCUGCGACUGAGACCAAGCUUUCUGACACUAGGCAGCACAUUUCUCUCCAGAAUGCCUUGAUAGUCUUCAGAUUUCAUCGUACCUUGCACACUUUCAAGACACCCUGUGCCAGAUGCAGCAAAGCAGCCCCAAAACAUUACUGAGCCUCCUCCAUGUUUCACCGUAGGGACAGUGUUCUUUUCUUCGUAUGCUUGGUUUUUGAGUCUAUGAACAUAGAGUUGAUGUGCCUUACCAAAAAGCUCCAGUUUGGUCUCCAGUUUGGUUUGUCCCAAAGGACAUUCUCCCAGAAGCUUUGUGGCUUGUCAACAUGCAUUUUUGCAAAUUCCAGUCUGGCUUUUUUAUGAGUUUUAUUCAGCAGUGGUGUCCUCCUUGGUCGUCUCCCAUGAAGUCCACUUUGGCUCAAACAACGACGAAUGGUGCGAUCUGACACUGAUGUACCUUGGCCUUGGAGUUCACCUUUAAUUUCUUUGGAGGUUGCUCUGGGCUCUUUGGAUACAAUUCGAACGAUCCGUCUCUUCAAUUUGUCAUCAAUUUUCCUCUUGCGGCCACGUCCAGGGAGGUUGGCUACUGUCCCGUGGGUCUUGAACUUCUGAAUAAUAUGAGCCACUGUUGUCACAGGAACUUCAAGCUGUUUAGAGAUGGUCUUAUAGCCUUUACCUUUAAGAUGUUUGUCUAUAAUUUUUUUUCGGAUGUCCUGGGACAAUUCUCUCCUUAGCUUUCUGUUGUCCAUGUUCAGUGUGGUACACACCUUUUCACCAAACAGCAGGGUGACUACUUGUCUCCCUUUAAAUAGGCAGACUGACUGAUUAUGAGUUUGGAAACACCUGUGAUGUCAAUUAAAUGACACACCUGAGUUAAUCAUGUCACUCUGGUCAAAUAGUUUUCAAUCUUUUAUAGAGGUACCAUCAUUUUUGUCCAGGCCUGUUUCAUUAGUUUGUUUUUUUAAAUAUGUUAAUCAACAAUUCAAAAAUAAUGGCUGUUUUUGAUUAUUUAAUUUUCAAUAAAUUUUUAUUUAUUGUUACUUUUGUGAGUUUCAAGUGAUUUCAGUGAGAAUUGUGGGUUUUUCCUUCUUUAACUGAGGGGUACCAACAAUUUUGUCCACGUGUGUAUGGACCUAAAAAGGACUUGCAGCAUCAUUUCUGGCAAUUAGUGCAAGCUAUUUUUGCACUGUGGAAAACAAAGCACAGCACAUUUUGCUGAGACUUGACCAGAUCGCUCACCCAUACACUGCGGAGUGUAUAAAAACCUGUGUUUACCAAUGCGCAGAGGACUGGGGAAUACCACAACACAAAAUUCUGACAGUCAUAACUGAUAAUGGAAGCAAUAUGGUUGCAGCAUUCAAAACUAAUCAACAGGAUGGUCCCACCAGCUCUGAAGAUGAAUCCAUCGAGACAAGUGACAUCGAUGACUCUGAUGUGGAUGUAGCGGACCAAACGUUUGGAGGCAUAGAUAGGACCCCCUGUGUUGUUCACACACUGCAACUUGUGGUGAACAUUAUCCAGAAAAAUGCAAGUGUCAGCCGACUGCUGGGCAAAGUUAGAGGGCUCGUCAAGAUGUUCCCCAAGUCAUCAAUGGCCACUGAGCGACUGCUGCAGCUGUUGUCAACUAACUCUGGUCAAAGAAUUUAAUUUUUCACCACUCGCUGCUGCAUGUUUUCUUGACCCGACAGUUGCACCUGAAGCACUCCUUGAAAAUGAUGAACAAAUUGAGGUGCUUCUGGGAAAAGUAGAUUACAUUGCUCAAUUGGUGCCACCAGUAAUACAGGAAGAGGAGGCUGAAGAUGAGGAGCCAGUGGAGGGCAACCAAGAAUCAAAAGAGGAACCACAGAGAAAGCGGUCCAGAUUCAAAUUUUUGUCAAAAGCAGGCCGGCCAUCCUGGCCUAGCCUCUCAAAGCCGUGUGUCAAGGAGGAUUAAGAAAUUCAAGGAACAGUUAUCACAGCCUAUAAAUGAAGAGACUGCUCUUGAAUUUUGGGCUGCACAGGGAGAUUCUGUUUAUCCGAGCCUGAAACCUAUCGCCUUAGAUCUUCUUGCAAUGCCAGCAUCUCAGGCAUUUGCUGAGAGGGUCUUUAGCGUUACAGGUGACCUCAGUCGUGGUCGUCGAAACAGAGCAAAGGCCAUUUUAGAGCGAAGCGCCUUCCUCAAACUGAAUCGAGGUCGAUAGGCUAGAUUUGUUAACAGCAAGCUGUUACUACUAUUAGCACAGAUGUAGAUAUGCCACUGUGAUUGUGAUCGCACCUCCUGUGAGACUGCACUAGGGGUAGAGGCCCCCUCUAUUGAUGUUGCUAAACAUUGUUGUUUCUAUUUGUUCCUGCUUUAAAGACCCAAAACAGUGUUUACAGGGUUUGUUUUUUUUGCAUUCAGGGGUUAACCAUUUUACUUUGUUCCAAAAUUUCAAGUGGCAGGUUUGUUUCAUAUUUGAUGGUAUAACUUAAAGCCUACCUCACUGUACCCAAUUUAUUACCUUUGUCAGACUGUCAUGCGUGUUACUGUUAUACAUACUGUAGAGUGUGCAGGGAUUUUUGUCUGUUGCUUUAAUGUAUAAAUGAGUUUGUUCUGUCUCAUUUUUGCAUAGAAAUUCUAAAAAAUAAACCCGCAAGUCCUGAAGGAGGAGUAUCUUUGUUGGCUUUUUUUGGAGUAAUGAACAUUGAUUCCAAUGUCAUUUUGUCAGUGAGGUUAAUAAUACGUAAUUUGUUAAAAGGCUAAUACGUCUAGACUAAAACUGGACUAAAACCUUUUGAGUUUUCGUCAACUAAAACUGGACUAAAACUAUCACUUAUAGAAAUGACUAAAUUGUGACUAAAUAGAAUAAGGAUUUCGUCCAAAAGACUAAGACUAAAUCUAAAUUUGCUGCCAAAAACAACACUGUUUUCAAACCUGUUUUGGGCUUCAGAGAAUUUAACUAAGAAAUUUCUUUUUGGCUUCCUACCAAACAACACAACUACAGUUGUAGCUAUUUGCAACUUUAGUUUGUAAAUUAAAGAUCAGAUUCUGUAUAUUUUUUGACUGUCUUCAAAGAGUUUCUAUGAUUUUCACAAGUCUUGAUCUAAUGGUUUGCAAUUGGCAAGUGCCUGAACAAAUGAAAUAUAGAAAUAUAAAUUAAAUUUCCUCCACAGUGGGGGGGAAAAAAUACAAAUAAUUCCAGCCUUAUAUUUAAUCCAGAGAGCUUGUGGACACCUUGCUUCUUCACUGUGCACAUCAGCGUCACUGCAUACAGAUCAUGUCUGGUUUCAGCAGAGUUUGGAAACCUCAGCUUUAACUGAAGUGCGAUAUAACAAAGUGCAGUAGCAGCAUUGGAGGCCCCUGCUCCGACUCCUGCGGCUAUCUCACAUCCCUGUAAGCUGUGAUGCUAAUGAGCACUGUUACAGUUUCUGUUUUAAUCAUGAUGGAUUCUCAAGCAUUUUGAUAUUUCUGCCUCUUAAUUCUUCAUUACCCGGAUGGCUGUGCUGUCUCUAUAGUAACCUUUCUAAGCAACCAGUUGCACAGGGUCACGAGACAUUUUACCCCUUAGUAAAUCUGACUGAGCUUGUAUGGAAGACACUGUUGAAUUAACUCACUGGCCUUGCAUGUUAACACAGUUGGUGGUGAACGCAGCACUUUAAUUGUAAAUGUUGGUUAUUUUUAGCAUGACUGACUUAUCCACUGGUCAACACAUUUGUUAGACAAAAUUAGCUGUGCACUUUCUAAGGUGAAACACUGCAAGUGAAAAUGAGAAGUAACAGACAUCCGCUUGAAACUUUCCCAAAAAGACAAUAAUUUUUUAUGUUUUACAAAUUUUGUGAAACUGUAUGUUUAAAUGUGUAAAUUAGGGAUUAUCUCAUUCAGUAUGCUUCAACUUGCAUAAAUCUCCAGAACAAAAAUGUAAACCUCGGAUAAAGCCAACCUCAAAAUUCUAGUUACAUUUUGUUGACAGAUUAGAGUCAAAGAUUGUACAGAGAUUUUUUUAUUAAUACAGAUGUAUUUUCAGAUGAAAAUGGUGUCAAAAACUGGAGAAAGACAGUUUGUCUUUUUUCUGAGGAAUAAAAUAUUCUGCAAACGAG